GGCGCGUUUACUCCCCGCACUAAUUUAACACCGUUUUUGCCUUCACAGCAUGUGACCCGGCGCCAGCCCCAGCGCCAGUGCGGGACCGCUCGCAGUACGUGGCGAGCACAGUCAUCGUGCUGUGCAUCGUAGCCCUGGCGCUGGGCUACAUAUUUAUGACAACAGAAGGUGCCGGCCCUACAUCGACGGCCGUCACGACUGCGGGGUCUCCAGCACAGCUGGAAACAACUACCCCGGCGACUACGAAGGCUCCAGGCAUUCCAGG